CGUGACGGCCAUAACAGUGGGGUCACACCAGGUCUCAUCCCGAACCCGACGGUAAAGCCCACUGCGUAUCGCACAUGUACUAUGUUCCGCGAGGGCAUGGGAAAUGCGAUUCGCUGUCACAU
rfam:Thermoplasmatales archaeon B_DKE contig-1000036, whole genome shotgun sequence.